rnacentral:tRNA from 1 species
GUUUAAAUAGUUUAAAUAAAAUAUUGAUUUGUGGUAUCAAUGAUAAGAGAUUUUCUUUUUAAAUC